rnacentral:miRNA from 1 species
UGGGUUGGCAAAAGAGGUCUUUCAGUUUUUUCUGUAACAUCUGAUGGAAAAACCCAAAUGAACUUUUUGGCCAACCCAA